ACCUCACGACCUGUGUCAGCAGAGCUGCCCUGCACCGCCAUGUGCAUCAUCUUCUUUAAGUUUGAUCCUCGCCCUGUUUCCAAAAACACGUACAGGCUCAUCUUGGCAGCCAACAGGGACGAAUUCUAUAGCCGACCCUCCAAGUUAGCUGACUUCUGGGGGAACAACAACGAGAUCCUCAGUGGGCUGGACAUGGAGGAAGGCAAGGAAGGAGGCACAUGGCUGGGCAUCAGCACACGUGGCAAGCUGGCAGCGCUCACCAACUACCUGCAGCCGCAGCUGGACUGGCAGGCCCGAGGGCGAGGUGAACUUGUCACCCACUUUCUGACCACUGACGUGGACAGCUUGUCCUACCUGAAGAAGGUCUCUAUGGAGGGCCAUCUGUACAAUGGCUUCAACCUCAUAGCAGCCGACCUGAGGCACCUACGGGCUGAGCAAUGCGCUGCUGGAGACGCCCUGGAGGAAGCUGUGCUUUGGGAAGCAGCUCUUCCUGGAGGCUGUGGAACGGAGCCAGGCGCUGCCCAAGGAUAUGCUCAUCGCCAGCCUCCUGGAUGUGCUCAACAAUGAAGAGGCAGCUGCCAGACCCGGCCAUCGAGGACCAGGGCGGGGAGUACGUG
rnacentral:sRNA from 1 species